GACGAACGCUGGCGGCGUGCCUAAUACAUGCAAGUAGAACGCACAGUUUAUACCGUAGCUUGCUACACCAUAAACUGUGAGUUGCGAACGGGUGAGUAACGCGUAGGUAACCUGCCUGGUAGCGGGGGAUAACUAUUGGAAACGAUAGCUAAUACCGCAUAAUAUUAAUUAUUGCAUGAUAAUUGAUUGAAAGAUGCAAUUGCAUCACUACCAGAUGGACCUGCGUUGUAUUAGCUAGUAGGUGAGGUAACGGCUCACCUAGGCGACGAUACAUAGCCGACCUGAGAAGGUGAUCGGCCACACUGGGACUGAGACACUGCCCAGACUCCUACGGGAGGCAGCAGUAGGGAAUCUUCGGCAAUUGACGAAAGUCUGACCGAGCAACGCCGCGUGAGUGAAGAAGGUUUUCGGAUCGAAAAGCUCUGUUGUAAGAGAAGAACGGGUGUGAGAGUGGAAAGUUCACACUGUGACGGUAUCUUACCAGAAAGGGACGGCUAACUACGUG
rnacentral:rRNA from 1 species